rnacentral:misc_RNA from 1 species
UUCCAACACUGGAUUUGAACUUUCCUAGGGAUCUAUGGAUCUUUGAGUUAUUGACAUUUCAGAAAAGGUACAUUACCGUUAUCACUGGGCUUCAAGAUCAUAUCCAAGAGGGGCUCAUAGAUAUCAAAGACCACAAGUUUGAGGCCGGGUAGAUUGUUUGCCAGGCUUUUGGAAGUGCUGUUUAAUUUCUCGUUGAAGGCAACGGCAUCACGGUUUAACCUCUCAACACACUGAUUGCUUCCUGCACCAAAGAGGGUAAUAGCUGCAGGCAAACACCCGGUUGGUGGUAGGCUUGUCACUCCAAUCCUUCUUGCUCCCAGUCCGUAGAGAUUCUGUGUCAAUCACCAUCCCUGUUAGCAACUACUUUGUGCUAUGAAAGAACUAAAGAAAAGGAUUUCUCGUUAGUUUAGAUACCAAACUGAGUUUCAUGUACAAGUUUGUGAUCAACAUCAUGAUAUUGAUGUGUACAUUCCCACCUAUGAUAUUGACAGGUUAAUUUUUAUGUAUUUUUGUUGGCAGAUUCGGUUGUUCACACUUCAGCACAUGAGAUUAGAAAUGGGAAUGGAGCAGAGUGGGAAUGGCAUUUCCAUUCCUGUCCUAUUAGGUUUAGGUACCUGACGGACAGGAAUUUCUUUAAGGAUUAGUGAAAUCCAAAUUGAUCAAAACCAGUCUUGAAUGAGAUGGUCCGACUUGGGUCAAAACGGGUUAUUCGUUAAAAAAAAUUUUGAAAAAUUCAAUUGUUGAAUUUUAUCAAAAUUGGAUUAAAUUGGUUCGAAUCGAAAUCCAGAUUGGAGUAGAUCCUUCAGUCCAAUCUCAGUUAGCCCUAACUCUUGAAGCCGACCCUGCAGUUCCGGCCAGCUUUAUAUAGAAUUGACAUCUGCCUAAGAUGUUCAAAAUGCAGGUAUUUUUUGAUAGGCUUUACCCAACGCAUGAGCUU